AAUUUUGGACAAUGGGCGCAAGCCUGAUCCAGCCAUGCCGCGCGAGUGAAGAAGGCCUUCGGGUUGUAAAGCACUUUCGGACGGAAAGAAAUCGCGCAGGCUAAUACCCUGCGCGGCUGCCGGUACCGACAUAAGAAGCACCGGCUAACUACCUGCCAGCCGCCGCGCUAAUAUGUAUGGUGCGAGGGUUCAACGGAAUUACUGGGCGUAAAGCGUGCGCAGGCGGUUGAUUAAGACAGGCGUGAAAUCCCCGGGCUUAACCUGGGAACUGCGCUUGUGACGGGUCAGCUAGAGUACGGCAGAGGAGGGUGGAAUUCAACGUGUAGCAGUGAAAUGCGUAGAGAUGUGGAGGAACACCGAUGGCGAAGGCAGCCCCCUGGGCCGGUACUGACGCUCAUGCACGAAAGCGUGGGUAGCAAACAGG
rnacentral:rRNA from 1 species